CUGCGGUUGGAUCACCUCCUUUCUAGAGUACAAACUGAUAAGUCUCACAACUAUCAGUUCAUAUAUAGACUCAAUCAUCCUUGUUUAGAUUUCAAAGAUUGAUGAAAAGCUAAUUUUGGGGAAUUAGCUCAGCUGGGAGAGCGCCUGCUUUGCACGCAGGAGGUCAGCGGUUCGAUCCCGCUAUUCUCCACCAUUUAUUAAGGGCCUAUAGCUCAGCUGGUUAGAGUGCACCCCUGAUAAGGGUGAGGUCACAAGUUCAAGUCUUGUUAGGCCCACCAUAAAAAAGAUUUGUUUAUCAAUCAUAUAAUAAAGUUUUAAAACUUAAAGCAAGUAUAUAGCUAAUAAUAAAGUAAUAAGUAAAGUAAAAUACUUUAUUACUUAUGUUUUUAAAUUAUUUAAACUCUUUGUAUAUGCUUCCUUUAGGUUUUAAGACCUAAGCUAAAUAAAUAAUAGAAUAUUUUAUAUAUUCGACUCAUUAUUUAAUGUUAUUUGAAUUAUCAUUGUUAAGAGUCACAAGCAAGUUUUAAUAAAAACAAUUUUACAGGACUUGUUAAAGGAUAAAACCUAACUAUCUUUUCUUUAACUUUUAGUUAAAGACAAGUUUUAAACUCACAACUUAGUUAGAUUAAUAUUUUUAGUUUUAUUAAGUGUUUAAAUGCUUUCCGUCUUAAGAUAGUAAAGUCUUAUCGUAAAAACUUUAACAAGGAAGUGAUGCGUUUUAGAUGAAUUUAAAGGUAAGCUAUAAGAGCGAAUGG
rnacentral:misc_RNA from 1 species